rnacentral:rRNA from 1 species
AUUGAACGCUGGCGGCAGGCUUAACACAUGCAAGUCGAGCGGAGAUGAGGUGCUUGCACCUUAUCUUAGCGGCGGACGGGUGAGUAAUGCUUAGGAAUCUGCCUAUUAGUGGGGGGCAACAUUCCGAAAGGAAUGCUAAUACCGCAUACGUCCUACGGGAGAAAGCAGGGGAUCUUCGGACCUUGCGCUAAUAGAUGAGCCUAAGUCGGAUUAGCUAGUUGGUGGGGUAAAGGCCUACCAAGGCGACGAUCUGUAGCGGGUCUGAGAGGAUGAUCCGCCACCCUGGGACUGAGGCACGGCCCAGACUCCUACGGGAGGCAGCAGUGGGGAAUAUUGGACAAUGGGGGAAACCCUGAUCCAGCCAUGCCGCGUGUGUGAAGAAGGCCUUAUGGUUGUAAAGCACUUUAAGCGAGGAGGAGGCUACUGAGACUAAUACUCUUGGAUAGUGGACGUUACUCGCAGAAUAAGCACCGGCUAACUCUGUGCCAGCCGCCGCCGUAAAAC